rnacentral:lncRNA from 1 species
GUGUGUUUUCGUAACGGGCAGACGACAGAAUUCACUUUAAAUUAACAUUGGUUCUUAUGGGAGUAUUCACCCAUCGGCAGAAAGUUGAGCAGAAAAAAAGAACUGUUCAAAUCAGAGACGAACUGUCGUUCAUCUUGCCGUUCUUUAUAAGGCCUAUCAACACAAUGCUAUUUUGCUUCGACCGAUCACUGCUCGUGAACCGUUUUGUCGAAAAAGAACUAAUUUCGGGAUUCUGUCGACGAGAACAGACAGCUUCGAAUCACUUUUCUGCUCUGAUCACGUGACACCGGCAGAAUUAUCUUUCUGUGGAUCAGACGCCAUGUUCUUUUUAACCUCAAUCUUUAAUUGUGGAUGGUUUGUUUUGAUAUUGGUUGUCAGAUUUCGGAUUGCUACUAUUAUACUGUGAAAUUAAUUUGCAGUGGAAAAUUGAGGUAUAAAAUAUUUCUAUUGGUUUCUUUAUUCUUAUAAUUUUUACAAGAGAAAUUGAAAAUGGAUUUGCAACAGAAAGGCGUGAAAUUUUCGAAGUUCAAAGUUUUGUACUUUCCAGACCUGCACAACGAAUUACCUAUUUGAAAAAUAGAAUAUGGUUAGAAAUUGCUGAUGUAAUAGAGGAUUCAAGUACCAUUUACAAACAAAAUAUUGAAGAGAAUGUGCUCAAAGUAAAUGCAUAUGAAUUCUUUUUUGUUGACCAGGAUGGAACAAUUCUUUGGAACCUAUACUUAGAAUAAAUUAGUUAGGCCUAGUGAUGUACCAGCCAGAAGUAGAGGAUGACAAAGAAAAUCAACUAUGAAUAAUAUUCCAUGGAUAUGAUUCAUGUAUGAUCUAGUAGCCUACAGAAGAAAGAGAUGGACUAAUCUAAGAAAUAUAUUCAUUUUUUCAG